rnacentral:rRNA from 1 species
GAUGAACGCUGGCGGCGUGCCUAACACAUGCAAGUCGAGCGGAGUUGUGGAGAAGCUUGCUUCAAAACAACUUAGCGGCGGACGGGUGAGUAACGCGUGGGCAACCUGCCCUAUGCAGAGGGAUAACAUACCGAAAGGUAUGCUAAUACCGCAUAAAUCUGAGGAAUCGCAUGGUAUCUCAGACAAAGAUUUAUCGGCAUAGGAUGGGCCCGCGUCUGAUUAGCUAGUUGGUAGUGUAACGGACUACCAAGGCGACGAUCAGUAGCCGACCUGAGAGGGUGAUCGGCCACACUGGAACUGAGACACGGUCCAGACUCCUACGGGAGGCAGCAGUGGGGAAUAUUGCACAAUGGGGGAAACCCUGAUGCAGCAACGCCGCGUGAGCGAAGAAGGCCUUCGGGUCGUAAAGCUCUGUCCUAAGGGAAGAAUAAUGACGGUACCUUAGGAGGAAGCCCCGGCUAACUACGUGCCAGCAGCCGCCGUAACAC